AACCGAACGAGCACCGACUGACGCGCCACGCCGUGCACAGCUGGCCGCCGACAGUGCCGUCAGCUUAUCCCCACCAUCUAUGCUCUACUCAAUACCGUAUCACGCUUAUUCCGAUGACCAAUUGACACUUGGACGAUAACAGACUUUUUCAAAUACAACAUAUAUAUAUAUAUAUACAUACAUAGGUAUGUACAUAGAACUAUGUUUCCCUUGCUCGUCGAUAAAAAUAUUCUUGCGCAGCCUCCCCGUUUGAGUUAUUACGUAAGCUUCCUUCCCCUCUUGCCAGAAUGCAAAAUAUUUACUGGACUAUGCCAAAAGAAAAAAAAAAAAAAACAA